rnacentral:rRNA from 1 species
AACGAACGCUGGCGGCGUGGAUAAGACAUGCAAGUCGAACGGAGAAUAUGAAUAGCUUGCUAAUUGUAUUCUUAGUGGCGGACGGGUGCGUAACACGUGAGCAACCUACCCUAAAGUGGGGGAUAGCCUUUCGAAAGGAAGAUUAAUACCGCAUGUGAUCUUAGGAUCAAAGGUGCCUUCGGGUGCCGCUUUGGGAUGGGCUCGCGGCCUAUCAGUUAGUUGGUGAGGUAACGGCUCACCAAGACGACGACGGGUAGCUGGUCUGAGAGGACGAUCAGCCUCACUGGAACUGAGACACGGUCCAGACACCUACGGGUGGCAGCAGUCGAGAAUCAUUCACAAUGGACGAAAGUCUGAUGGUGCAACGCCGCGUGGAGGAUGAAGGCCCUAGGGUCGUAAACUCCUGUCAUCGGAGAGUAAGGCUGUUAUGUAAAUAGCAUAGCAGAUUGAUAGUAUUCGAAGAGGAAGGGACGGCUAACUUCGUGCCAGCAGCCGCGGUAAUACGAAGGUCCCAAGCGUUGUUCGGAAUCACUGGGCGUAAAGGGAGCGUAGGCGGCGAGGUAAGUCAGAUGUGAAAUUCCGGGGCUCAACCCCGGAACUGCAUCCGAUACUGCCUUGCUAGAGUAAUGGAGGGGUAACUGGAAUUCUCGGUGUAGCAGUGAAAUGCGUAGAUAUCGAGAGGAAGACCAACGGCGAAGGCAGGUUACUGGACAUUUACUGACGCUGAGGCUCGAAGGCUAGGGUAGCGAAAGGGAUUAGAUACCCCUGUAGUCCUAGCAGUAAACGAUGUGCGCUUGGUGUGGGAAGGUUCGACCCUUUCCGUGCCGGAGCUAACGCGUUAAGCGCACCGCCUGGGGAGUACGGUCGCAAGACUAAAACUCAAAGAAAUUGACGGGGACCCGCACAAGCGGUGGAGUAUGUGGCUUAAUUCGAUGCAACGCGAAGAACCUUACCUAGGCUUGACAUGUAUCGCUAAGCACGUGAAAGCGUGUGACUCUUCGGAGACUUUACACAGGUGCUGCAUGGCCGUCGUCAGCUCGUGUCGUGAGAUGUUCGGUUAAGUCCGGCAACGAGCGCAACCCCUGUGACUAGUUACUAACAUUAAGUUGAGGACUCUAGUCAGACUGCCCAGAUCAACUGGGAGGAAGGUGGGGAUGACGUCAAGUCAGUAUGGCCCUUACGCCCAGGGCUGCACACGUACUACAAUGCCCAGUACAAUGUGAACCGAUACCGCGAGGUGGAGGAAAUCUAUAAAACUGGGCUCAGUUCGGAUUGUGGGCUGCAACUCGCCCACAUGAAGUCGGAAUCGCUAGUAAUGGCGCAUCAGCUACGGCGCCGUGAAUACGUUCCCGGGUCUUGUACACACCGCCCGUCACAUCAUGGAAGCCGGUCGCACCCGAAGUGUCCACGCCAACAAUGGCAGGGUCCUAAGGUGUAGUUGGUAACUGGGAUG